rnacentral:rRNA from 1 species
GUGAGGAAUAUUGGUCAAUGGACGAGAGUCUGAACCAGCCAAGUAGCGUGAAGGAUGACUGCCCUAUGGGUUGUAAACUUCUUUUAUAAGGGAAUAAAGUGAGGGACGUGUCCCUUUUUGUAUGUACCUUAUGAAUAAGGAUCGGCUAACUCCGUGCCAGCAGCCGCGGUAAUACGGAGGAUCCAAGCGUUAUCCGGCUUUAUUGGGUUUAAAGGGAGCGUAGGUUGACAUAUAAGUCAGCUGUGAAAGUUUACGGCUCAACCGUGAAAUUGCAGUUGAUACUGUAUGUCUUGAGUGUACAAGAGGUGGGCGGAAUUCGUGGUGUAGCGGUGAAAUGCUUAGAUAUCACGAAGAACUCCAAUUGCGAAGGCAGCUCACUGGGGUACAACUGACACUGAGGCUCGAAAGUGUGGGUAUCAAACAGGAUUAGAAACCCGUGUAGUCC